AACGUCCAUAUUAGGCUGGAUGUACUUCUUAUCCGAUCACUGAAGUUAAGCAGCGUCGAAUGCGGUCAGUACUUGGAUGGGGGACCGCGUGAGAACAUCGCGUGAUGU